rnacentral:lncRNA from 1 species
CUUCUCUCAAAGAGAUGAAUUUGCUUAGAUAUAGUACCAGAAAAUCUUCCAAAAUUUCACGACCCGAUCUUUGCAAUGGGAUAGCAAUAUUUCACGCUGAAUCGUUGCAAGUAUCAUGAGAAAUAGGUCCAUAAGUUUUAUGCUAACCUUAGCAUAGUAUCUUUUUUAGAGCCUUCCAACAUAAUUCAGGAUUUAGGGAAGG